rnacentral:tRNA from 1 species
GCGGUCCUGCGGGACCGGCGGCUGGGCCGGUUCUGGACCGAUCUCGAGCCGGCCGCGGUCUACGAGCCGUUCAACCUGCUGCACCGGC